AUGGAAAGUCAGCUUGUGCACUCUAGAAAAAUCUUUGGUUGCAAAAUGCGGGAUGCUGCAGAUUUUACUCACCGCCGCUUUGUUUUGAUUAAACAUUUACAGUGGAAUCUUCAAAUAAGCAAGAUGGAAUCUAUCAACUGUUCUGUUACGCAGACCGAGUGUGCUGUUCAAGAUUCAGGUCUACUAAAGGGGAUAACACUCCCAGCUAUGGAAUUCCAAAUGGUCUACCAUUAG